rnacentral:lncRNA from 1 species
AUGUUAUUGGUACGCGGCCAAUGACAUCGGAUUGGACUUAGUCAUAUAAAUUGUGCGUCGUCAAGUCCCCCUAGUCUGAUGUGAUUGGUCUGCUGACAAUCAGAUCGGACUAGAUAAAGCACCAAUAAUAAAGAGAAAUGACUGAACCUCGCCGGCGAGAGCCGUGGGGUUGUGCGACGAGCCAAACACUGCUUGAGCUGACUUGAUACUCCUUCAUUGAGAGGAGUGUGAGCUGGUCGGUGAGAUGCAACGUAACUGUUGUUGCGUGUAACGCCCGCAAAUUCGGGCUAGUCAAAUUAGAGGCAAUAGGGGUCGAAAACGACUUUUCAACAAAAGAUUAUUUAGAAUAAAUAGUCUUAACCAAGUUUUAGAGUAUGUUACAAGGUUUUUGUACAUAUAAAGAACGCCAAAAUCCGAGUUAUAACGAAGAAGUUAUGACCCGUUGAAGUNGUAGAGUAUGUUACAAGGUUUUCGUACAUAUAAAGAACGCCGAAAACCGAGUUAUAACGAAGAAGUUAUGACCCGUUGAAGUUUCGCGACGG